rnacentral:lncRNA from 1 species
AAUAAAAUUGGAAUGCAUCUCUAUGCAACAAUGAAAGAAAAAUAGCAAUAUUAAAAAUACAUCAAAUACAACUCUAGAGGGAAGUGAAUUUUUAUUCAAGGACUUUUAAGAAUUCUGACAUUGAAAAGACAUCUUUGCUUGAGGAGGCAGCUGAAUGUGUUUCUAACUUACAGUCAAAGAUCAUUUGCAUAGAAUACCAAAAGAGCCAUUUUUUUUUUUUUAAUUCAGAGAAAGAACAUCUAUCAGAGUUUGGCAGGAUGCAUCCUGCCAGGAUUCUUCUCUUUUCUACAGAAACUGACCAUUUGAAAAAGUCUUUCUAUGAUUGGUGCCACAAUAAAGCUCUUGUACCGGAUUCUGCAACAAAAUGUAAAUUAAUGGAAUGUGAAAAAUGGAAGGACUGCAAGGGAAAGGAUCAAAGGGAUUCCUCCCUCUUCUUUCCACAAGUGAACACCUCUCCUGUUCUAGGAGCUGGGGAUUCAGUAGUGAAUGAGACAGGCAAGGUCCCUGCUGUCAUGGAGUCUGCAUCCUAGUGUAGGUAAUAAGACAAUGAACAAAGUAAUUUUCAAAGCAAACAAAAUAGGGGGUGCUCUGGAGAGUACAUGGAGAUCUGUUGUAGAGGGUUGGUUGAGGAGGGUUUCUCUAAGAAUCAAUGCUCAGGCUGAAACUGGAAUGACCAGAUGGAGACAGCCCGGAGAAGAACUGUCAGUGCAUUCCAGGGAGGGAAGACCAAAUGCAAUGUCUUAAGAGGAGAAAAGCCUGGCAGGUUCCUGGAAUAGAAAGAAGGCGUGUGGGCCCAAUGUAUAUGAUGGAGAGAGGUAGGAAAUGAACUCAGAGAGGCUGUCAGCACACAGACCAUAUUCAACAUUGGAGUCCCCUAAGGAGUUUGGAUGUUGUCCUCAGUAUAGUCAUGGGGUGCAUAGCAAUGUUUUGGUCAAUGACAGACUUCAUGCACAACACUGGUCCCAAUAAGAUCAUAAUGGAGCUGAAAAUUCCUGUCACCUAGUGAUGUCUUUAUGAUCCUGACCCUGUGUUUCCCUAGGCUAAUGUGUGUGUUUGUGUCUUAGUUUUUAACAAAAAUGCUUAAAAAGUAAAAAAUGAAACAUUUUUAAAAAUAGAAAAAACUUAUAGAAUAAGGAUAUAAAGACAACAUUUUGUACAGCUGUACAAUCUGUGUUUUAAGCUAAGUGUA